rnacentral:rRNA from 1 species
AGAUUGAACGCUGGCGGCAUGCCUUACACAUGCAAGUCGAACGGCAGCACGGGAGCAAUCCUGGUGGCGAGUGGCGAACGGGUGAGUAAUACAUCGGAACGUGCCCAAUCGUGGGGGAUAACGCAGCGAAAGCUGUGCUAAUACCGCAUAAGAUCUACGGAUGAAAGCAGGGGAUCGCAAGACCUUGCGCGAAUGGAGCGGCCGAUGGCAGAUUAGGUAGUUGGUGAGGUAAAGGCUCACCAAGCCUUCGAUCUGUAGCUGGUCUGAGAGGACGACCAGCCACACGUGGGACUGAGACACGGCCCAGACUCCGUACGGGAGGCAGCAGGUGGGGAAUUUUGGACGUAAGUGGGACGAAGCCUAGAUCCAGCCAUGCCGCGUGCGAGG